rnacentral:SRP_RNA from 1 species
UAAUUGGCUAGACUGGAGGGUUAGGAGUCCUCUGUAAGCACAAAUCUCCUUGGGUGUGGUCGAAAUUUAGGAGGCGGCAUUUGGAUGUGCUGAAGGCCUAAAAAGUUAAUAUAGAAGCUUCGUCCUGCAGGAUCAAUGGUGAUGAGGGUAUUACUGGAGGGUAAUACUUAAUUGUCUUUAUUUUGGGAACGUGUCAGGCCUGGAAAGGAGCAGCUCUACUGAUUACAGCUGAUGCUUGUAGAACCGCGAGGUGGAGUUAAUUUUUUAGAUAACUUUCGGUAUUGAAAUUUGUCCACUCCUUUAUGUGCCGUUUA